CUCUAUUUUAAUAUAAGCCCUACUACUCCUCCUUCAAAGUUCAAACCCAUCCCCGUUUCGCGUCUGAAAUCCAUAUGUCCCUCUCCUCGUUCUAUCCCUAUUUUCUUCUUUAACGUCUAUCCCUACUACCGAAGCUACCAGACAACCAACCCCCAUCUCCACUCAGAAGAAGGCAUAUCAAGAUGAAGUUAUUAGAUUGGAUGCACCGUAAGUUCCGGCAAUAUAAUAACGAACCAAGCAAGGAUUUUAUAAUCGGUCGCUCUUGUUAUUGUCUUUCAGGGCAGCCUUCUUCACCCGACGACGAACCACAAUACUACUACCACACAAAACCAGGUUACAACGGAUCUCGAUCAUCAUCAAACCAGAUGUCUCAGAAAGAGCGGAUCCGCCGGAAAUCUUUCGCUGGAUCGGAAACAACAGUGGUCGAUGAAGACUUGGAAGCAGCAGCAGCGGCCGAACGCUUUGAUGGACUCCUCACAAUCGGGACUUUUGGUUCAGACCCUGUCCUCGCUGACCCCACAACGUCUGUUUUCACCUUCUCCGUUGAGAAUAUAACUGAAAAAGAAACUGAGGUGACGGAGAGUGAUCUCAAGCUCAUCAACGAAGAGUUAGAGAAAGUCCUUGUGACCGAAGUAAAGGAAGAUGGAUGCAAUUUGUCAUCUGGGAGGAGCAGUCAUGUUAGUACUAAAACAACCGAGAACAACGGGAACAGCACAAUGGCAAUCUGCCCACUUCAAGAAUAUCUAUUUGGUUCUCCUAUCAAGAUUCCAGAAACGACUAUGGUGGCCAAAAAACAACAUAGGAUGUCACUCAGCGAGCUUUUUCAUAGGAGUAAAACGACAGGUAACUCAGCGUCAGAUGCAAAAUGUGAAAGGAAGGCGAAGCGAGCAGAGAAGGAAGCUAUAGCCGAGAAAUGUGGCAGUACUAGCAGUCAUCAUCUCAUGACGAAAAUUCUUAAGCGACGGACAUCUAAUACGUGUUCUAGGAACCCUGCCACUGCUGUUGCUGCUGCCUCUGAUCCUGUUUCAGCGGAGAAGAAAACCCACAAGGUGCGUACAUUUACUUCUUUACUACUGGUCCUGGACCUUCCCGUUCCCGUACCCGGGGGUGGUGGUAAUUCUUACUUUCUGAGGAAUAAUGGACCUCCCCGUCCGGCCGUCCCUUGGACCUUGGUAGCAGUUGCACUGACGGGGGACCUUGGAAAUCAACAAUGAUAUAUAACCUAUCAAAUCAGAAAGUACAGGGGAGGAGGUUUCACAAUUCACUUUCACAUUCAGUCAGUCUAUGCGCCAAUCGCCAUUAGCCCGUGCAUAGUUGACUCGUCGAGGGUGGGUUCCUGGGUGGAUCGAUCAUUUGGGUACACGUCAUGUCUUCUCAAAGAAACCAUCAUUGUGUGAGCAACGCUAGUUGCUUCUUGCUUAUACGAGUUAGUUGGGUUGGGUCAAACAGCAUAUUGGGCGGGCCCCACAUAGCGUAUUAUCAGAUCACGGUAUCGUUCAGCCGGCUCGGCUAGUUGAGAUCAAUUCAAUCCCCCACAACGACCCACGGCACAUCACAUUUCCCGAUGAUAUACCAGAAAUGAAGAUGAUCCGAAGAUGUUCCACAGAAGGAUUGAGCCAACCCGUAAGGACAGCACUCAACUCCCCACCAAGUACCAUGUACCAACAUCCCCCUGGGGCCUGGGCUGGAAAUCUCAUAUUCCUAUAUAUCCUACAGAUGUUCCACAGAAGAGUUCAUCCUGAAAGCUCG